UGACGUCAAAAAAAAAAAAAAAAAAAUGCUGACACGGCAGGGGGAGCCUAUUCUCACCGAACUCGACGCUGCGCAACCGUCGCUUCUGUUGCCAGGCUAGCUCCUACUUCUUCAGUCUACAAAUACUUGAAGGCAACAACAAACCACGGAGCACAUCCUACAGCAGUGUAGGCUCUCCGGGAACUGAUGACGGAAUUCGGGCCUUGGUCAGUGUUCCUCAACAUCAAGCUGUACGGGCCUGCGGAUGCUCUACAUAUUUUGUUAGCUUCAUUUCGAGCGCUGAUCUCGAACUAUAAUCAGGCUGGCAUCUUUAGAGAGACAAGUAGACUACAUCAAAGGUGACGGAAACUGCUUCUUCCGAGCUCUCUCCAAGGAAAUAUACGGGUCUGAAAACUUCCACGCUGAAUGGCGUGAAGCGGUUGUCGACGUCAUCGACUGUCAUCCCCUCGUCUUUCGCCAGUAUGUCGACACCAACAGCGUGGAAUCCCACGUGCAGGAGAUGCGAAGACUUGGUACAUGGGCAACCACGUGCGAGAUCUACGCCGCUGCUAUGCUGCUGCAACGUGACAUCUACGUCCUGACGCCUAACCACACCGGGAAGGAGUACCACUGGCUGCUGUUCUCACCUCGCCAGCUGACCGGACCUUCUGCUGGAAGCAGCGUGUGCACUUUGAACACACAGACACAUGAACGAGCAGCAGGGUAAAUGUCUCUGUCAGGGGUCGCAAUCACAGUACCUCGGGAACCUCCUCGGCGCUGCACCCUUGCUAUUUAACUCUGUGUCAUACAAAUGGCAAUCAUUACGACAGAAUUAUGCCCGUGUUCGUCUCCUGCAACUGUCAACUCCCACCUCCCAGUUUCAAUGAAGUUACAGUCCUUGUGGACCUAAUAGAGUAGGGUGAGGACAGGGACUGAGCAUAAGAUUUAUUAGUUAUCUGCGUCUUCAUUCAUGCAGAUUCUAGGUUUAAAUCCAUGGUGUUUUUAAUAUGGGGGUGUGCCAAGUUUUUGCACCUUGUCAGUAGUACUGUCCUGGGUACAAGAGGUGCGAAAGUCUUAAAAUAUAACUCCAAAGUUGUCUAAAAAUCCCUGCUGACGCAAGAGUUCCCUCCUCUUAGUGUUGGAAUGAAAAGUAAUAUUGAAGUAUUGCAUAUAUGAAGAAACACGAACGCUAGCGAAUGUGUGGUUGUGAGGGUGUAAGAAAUACUAACUUUAUUGCAUGAAAGACUAAAAAAAAACCUCACCUCUCUGUGGGAAUAAAAAUGUUUUACCUCCA